GGCGCACGGGUGAGUACGCGUGGGAACUGCCCUGGGGUUCGGGACACGCGGGAAACUUGCGGGUAAUACCGGAUACGGCAUUGGCGAAAGAAGUGAUCGCCCUGGGAUGGGCCCGCGUCCGAUUAGCUUGUGGUGGGGUAACGGGCCUACCAAGGCUUCGAUCGGUAGCCGGUCUGAGAGGAUGAUCGGNCACACUGGGACUGAGACACGGCCCAGACUCCUACGGGAGGCAGCAGUGGGGAAUCUUGGACAAUGGGCGCAAGCCUGAUCCCAGCGACGCCGCGUGGGUGACGAAGGGCCUUCGGGUUGUAAAGCCCUUUUCCCGGGGACGAUGAUGACGGUACCCGGGGAAUAAGCACCGGUUAACUCCGUGCCAGCCGCC
rnacentral:rRNA from 1 species